rnacentral:tRNA from 1 species
GCCUGGUUGGCUCAGUGGGUAGAGCGUCAGCCUGCAGACUGAAGGGUCCCAGGUUUGAUUCCUGGUCAGGGCA